ensembl:lncRNA
UUCUAAUCGUGCAGAUCUGCUCAAACAGAGGUUAUCAAACAAAACUUUCAGUGCACUGUGAAAGUAUCAAAAUAAAAAGGCCUCGUUAAGUCAUGACACAUGCUCCUCAUCUCAGGAGGGUAAAUCAUACCAUUAGCAUGGUUCAUCAUACCAUCAUACUAAUUGGCAGGCUCAACUUCACAACAAAAGAAAAAUCAUCAGCUAGAUUAAUUCAAAACCAAACCAACCAUUAGCCGCACAACACACAACAUAAACCUCAUGUCUCAUUAGCUAUGAAUUUUAAUCCCCAGGACUGUACUCUUUACUCAUUUAGGCCACAGAUUUUAUUUAGUUUUCCUUUUUCCCCGUCAUCAUAAAACAUGUGACAUGUCGCUUAUGUUGUGUGUUGUGUGGCUGAUGGUUGGUUUGGAGUUAAUCUAGCUGAUGAUUUUUCUUUUGUUGUGAAGUUGAGCCUGCCAAUUAGUAUGAUGGUUUGAUAAACCAUGCUAAUGGUAUGAUUUACCCUCCUGAGAUGAGGAAUGUGUGUCAUGACUUAACGAGGCCUUUUUAUUUUGAUACUUUCACAGUGCACUGAAAGUUUUAUUGAUAAUCUCUGUUUGAGCAGGUCUGCACGAUUAGAACAGAAGCGCUAUACGACACGUCGUCGAGGAAAUUGUUGCAAGUGAGUUUCUCCACAUUAAAAUGGGCUCAGGAGAAAGUCACUUAUCUGGGACAAUUAGAAAAUAGGUCCCUACCCAAAAAAGGAUUAAGCGAGAUAAUCCAAUAUAAAGUUCUUCUUUUCUUUUUGAAAUGACGUCAUUUUGCUGAGAAGUGGAAAUGAAAAUGCGACAAUAAUUUCCACUGUCAGCAAAGAAAGAAUGAAUGAAUGAGUGAGAGAAAAUAAAACUGACUGACUGGUAAAAGCGGACAGAAGCUGACAGACUGACUGACAUCACUGUGUGAAGUUAACCCCCACCUGACAAAGGUGCAGAUGAAUCUAUGUGUGUUUCUUUUUACAGGAGCAGAAAGAUGACAGCAACAUUCGAGGUUGCGUGAUGAUUUAACCUUUUAAAUGCCACUUUCUGUGUCUGUGCAUCUACCAGGGGUGUCAUUCACUACCUUGUGUUGCUCACAGAGGUGACUGUGAGAAAGUGUG